rnacentral:rRNA from 1 species
AUUGAACGCUGGCGGCAUGCUUUACACAUGCAAGUCGAACGGCAGCACGGGCUUCGGCCUGGUGGCGAGUGGCGAACGGGUGAGUAAUGCAUCGGAACGUGCCCAUUUGUGGGGGAUAACUACGCGAAAGCGUGGCUAAUACCGCAUACGCCCUGAGGGGAAAGCGGGGGAUUCUUCGGAACCUCGCGCAAUUGGAGCGGCCGAUGUCAGAUUAGCUUGUUGGUGAGGUAAAGGCUCACCAAGGCGACGAUCUGUAGCGGGUCUGAGAGGAUGAUCCGCCACACUGGGACUGAGACACGGCCCAGACUCCUACGGGAGGCAGCAGGUGGGGAAUCUUGCGCAAGUGGGGGAAACCCUGACGCAGCAACGCCGCGUGAGUGAGGAAGGCCGUUCGGGUCGUAAAGCUCUGUCAGAGUGGGAAAGAAAUGGAUGGGGGCUAAUAUCGCCCAUCCUUGACGGUACCAUCAGAGGAAGCACCGGCUAACUCCGUG